AUGCCGGCGGCGGUCGCCUGCUCCGUCAAGUGCCGCCCCCACCACCGACUCUCGGCGCCGCAGCCCCACGCCGCGCUGGAGCUUCUCCCCCGCGCCCCGGCCUCCGCCGCCGGUGAGCUGCGGGCGACCCGGUGCCGGACUCCGCCUUCCCUGUCCUUCGCGCGCGCCUCCGACCAAGGGGAGGCUCCUCGAGCUCCCUGCCGAAGCCCGCCGUCCGCGAGGCGGGCCCGCGCCUCCGUGGCGGGGGGCGAGGAGGCCGGCCCCGCUUCUUCCGCGGCCGCGGCCGCCCUACUCGCCGGCGCGCAGUCGCGGCACGCCAUAUUCCGCGAGGAGCUCGUGAGGAGGGCCUACUACGCGGCCGAGGCGGCCCACCGCGGCCAGAUGCGCGCGAGCGGCGACCCUUACCUACAGCACUGCGUGGAGACGGCGGCGCUGCUCGCGGAGCUCGGCGCAGGCCCUCCGGUUAUCGCGGCGGGGCUGUUGCACGACACGGUGGACGACGCAGGCCUGGAUUACGGCUCCAUCUCCGAGCAAUUCGGUGCUGGCGUUGCGGACCUCGUGAAGGGGGUUUCUAAUCUAAGUCAUUUGAGCAAACUGGCCCGUAGAAACGAUACAGCGAGCAGAAUUGAUGAAGCUGACAGACUGCGUACGGUCUUCCUUGCAAUGGAGGAUGCGAGAGCAGUGCUUAUCAAACUUGCUGAUAGACUACACAAUAUGAGGACGUUAGAUUCAUUGCCCAAGAUCAAACAGCAGUGCUUUGCGAAGGAAACACUAGAGAUAUUUGCUCCAUUGGCGAAUCAAUUGGGGAUCUUGAACUGGAAGGAGCAGCUUGAAAAUCUGUGUUUCAAGCAUCUUUACCCAGAGCAAUAUGACGAACUGUCAUCCAACCUUCAUGAGUUUUACAACAGAGAUAUGAUUGCAGCUGCAAUAAGGCGACUGGAACAGGCCCUUCAGGUGAGAGGGCUAUUCUAUCGUUCCAUAUCAGGGAGGCACAAGAGCAUCUACAGCAUCUACAGCAAGAUGACAAGGAAAAAACUGGACAUGGAUGAAAUCUAUGAUGUACAUGGAGUGCGUGUGAUACUCGAGAAUAAAGCUGAUUGCUUCACCACAUUAGAAGUUGUCCAUCACUUGUGGCCUAGAAUUCCUGGGAAGUUUAAGGACUAUGUCAGCAGCCCCAAAUCUAAUGGGUACCAAUCGCUGCACACGGUUGUUCUCAGUGAAGAAACACUCCCAUUAGAGAUCCAAAUUCGUACUGCGGACAUGCACUUGCAGGCAGAGUUUGGAAUCGCUGCACAUUGGAGGUACAAGGAAGGCGUUCGGAAUUGCUCUUCAUCUCUGCCUGAAAUGGUUGAAUGGGUUAGAUGUGUUGUUACAUGGCAGUGUGAAACUCUGCACACAGAUCACCCUUCGCCUCCUGGACUUGGUUCGUCCCCAAGGGCAACAUGCACCUUCCCUUCUGACUCUGAUGGCUGUCCUUUCUCCUAUUCAAAACAAUGUGACCACACUGGACCAAUCCUAGUAAUACUUCUGGAGAAUGAAAAGAUGUCAGUGCAAGAACUCCCUCAAAAUUCGAAAAUACUGGACCUAUUGAAGAGGGCUUCAAGCUACGACAUGCAGUUGAGCCUAAGGCUGAACAGCCAUGCUGUGCACAACCUGAACCAGGAGCUGAAGAUGGGCGACGUGCUGGAGCUGAUUCCUUCAACUCAAUGCAAGUCUGGAGGCUACAUGAGGGAGUUCAACCAAAUGCCUGACCACCGUCUCGCGGUUUCGCAGUCUUGA
rnacentral:rRNA from 1 species